rnacentral:rRNA from 1 species
AUCGAACGCUGGCGGCAGGCCUAACACAUGCAAGUCGAACGAGUGGGGGACGCGGGUGAAUAGUCUGGGAAACUGCCCGAUGGAGGGGGAGAACCACUGGAAACGGUAGCUAAUACCGCGCACCCUCUGAAGUGCCCCGAUGUGAUUAGCUGGUAGGUGAGGUAACGGCUCACCUCGGCGAGGAUCCCUAGCUGGUCUGAGAGGAUGACCAGCCACACUGGAACUGAGACACGGUCCAGACUCCUACGGGAGGCAGCAGUGGGGAAUAUUGCACAAUGGGCGCAAGCCUGAUGCAGCCAUGCCGCGUGUAUGAAGAAGGCCUUCGGGUUGUAAAGUACUUUCAGCGGGGAGGCGUUACCCGCAUAAGAAGCACCGGCUAACUCCGUGCCAGCAGCCGCGGUAAUAC